CCAAUAGCGUAUAUUAAAGUUGUUGUGGUUAAAAAGCUCGUAGUUGAACCUUGGGCCUGGCUGGCCGGUCCGCCUCACCGCGUGUACUGGUCCGGCCGGGCCUUUCCCUCUGUGGAACCUCAUGCCCUUCACUGGGUGUGACGGGGAAGCAGGACUUUUACUGUGAAAAAAUUAGAGUGCUCCAAGCAGGCCUAUGCUCGAAUACAUUAGCAUGGAAUAAUAAAAUAGGACGUGCGGUUCUAUUUUGUUGGUUUCUAGGACCGCCGUAAUGAUUAAUAGGGCCAGUCGGGGGCAUCAGUAUUCAAUUGUCAGAGGUGAAAUUCUUGGAUUUAUUGAAGACUAACUACUGCGAAAGCAUUCGCCAAGGAUGUUUUCAUUAAUCAGUGAACGAAAGUUAGGGGAUCGAAGACGAUCAGAUACCGUCGUAGUCUUAACCAUAAACUAUGCCGACUAGGGAUCGGAUGAUGUUAAUUUUUUAAUGACUCAUUCGGCGCCUUAC
rnacentral:misc_RNA from 1 species